AUGAAAGUAGUGUUUGAUACA
rnacentral:siRNA from 1 species